UACGGGGGGAGCAAGCGUUGUUCGGAUUUACUGGGCGUAAAGGGCGCGUAGGCGGUCAGCACAAGUCAGUUGUGAAAUCUCCGGGCUUAACUCGGAAAGGUCAACUGAUACUGUGCGACUAGAGUGCGGAAGGGGCAACUGGAAUUCUCGGUGUAGCGGUUGAAAUGCGUAGAUAUCGAGAGGAACACCUGCGGCGAAGGCGGGUUGCUGGGCCGACACUGACGCUGAUGCGCGAAAGCCCAGGGGAGCGAACGGG
rnacentral:rRNA from 1 species